UACAAUGAACUUGUAGUCCAAUCAUAUGUUAAAUGAUUAAUAAUAUAGGAACAAUCAUAUUCUAAAGAGUUAUUCUAUAAAAACAAAAUUAAAUUCAAAUGGAGAAAUGUAUAAAUAACCUGUUUAAAUCGUCCACAACAAUCAGAUAGGCGCCUCAAUUUAUUGUAUUAUCAAUUAGAUACUUCUUUUCAAUUGAAAUAUGACCUCAUAAACCCUCACGCUGACAUACCAAAGAGAGUGCUUUAUUUUCACAUUUGAGCAUGUAAUACCCUCAAAAUUAUAUUUUUUCCUUUAAAAAGAAAAUUAACCUUACUUUAUGUGGAUCAACCACAACUUUUAUGUGGGUCCCACUAUAUUUAAAGUUUUUUCCCACAUUAAUUCCCCUUUCUUUCAAAAAUAAUUCAUUUCCACCACUAAACUUUCCUGACCUAAACAUGGCAACGUUUGUAGCUUAUUCACCUUCCGACGUGAAUCCACCUCAUCUCAUUCAAUAUUAAAAUAGCCACCAAGCCAUAAUAAUAUCAAUUGACCACCCUAAAAUUUCGGUCUCAUUUCCAGCAGUUCACCAACUCCCUUUUGAGUUUAAAAAUUAAGUUGUCUUUUAGCAAUUGGUAGCGAAAGCUCCACUUGUUCUGCAUUCCAUCGGCGGGGGUUUAGCAACAAAUGAAGCACAGUAGUAUUCACCUACCAGCAAGCCAAAUAAUUGUGUAAUUAAGUUGUCAUUUGGACUAAGAGAUUGUGAAUUUUGUUAGAUAUGGUAGGUGGAGUUUGGAAGAAAGAAGAAGGGGCGAGAUGAACAAGAGC
rnacentral:lncRNA from 1 species